rnacentral:lncRNA from 1 species
CUGGUAGUGGGGCUGCAGGAUUCCCCUGGGUAGAAGCCUUGCCCUAGCAGUAGAGUGGGAGCCUCUCGAUGCCUCUCUCUUGCGUCUGUUCCAUUAUAUAUAAUCGUGUGCCAAAUUGCCAAUCCUGCCAUACCUCGGAAGGAAAACGAUGUUGGAAAUUUAGAUGGCCUCUGGGUCUUUUCUAGUCAGUUCAACGGCCAAAAGUUCGACUCCGUGUAAAUGUACGAUCAUAGUUGAUUAUAGAGGUUAUUCUGGGAAUUUUAUAGGUAAAAAAUUGCAACCAGUUACAAUAAUAAUAAUAAUAAUAAUAUUAUUAU